UCCAUAGAUAAUUUCUCUAUUUUUUUUCCCCAAAAAAAAAAAAAUAGAAUCGUCCAAAACAGGUACACGCAGCACCUUUAGGAAAAAAAAGAGUAAGAUUUUGAUUUUAAUUUUACAUUUACCUUCACUAAAUCACAGCUUGGAUAAUUGUCAUCCUUUCCGCUUCUAAUUUGGCAAAUUGGGUAAAAGUUAGUGAUUGCCUUGUUGUGCCGUAGUCGUAGUCUCUCCAGCGGCAGCAAAGACGGCCAACUGACACCAUUUUCUCCGGCGAACUCGAGUUGAAGAGUCAGAAGAUGCAUGAAUGAUCUGCAUGCAAGAAUUUAUUAGAUUGGGGUAGAUGAUAUAGUUCCUCAUUGUAAUAUUUUGCAACUCAUUUUUAGGUACAUUGACCUUUGCUUUCAGUUUAACUUGGAGGACUGUUGUAAAAAGCCAUUUGCAUAUAAGUUUCUAGUCAAAUAAAUUUCUUAUCCCCAUUUUUUUGGUACACUUUUACUUAAUUAUUAUAUUUAGCUUUUGAAGAGUCAAA